GACGAACGCUGGCGGCGUGCUUAACACAUGCAAGUCGAGCGACGAAGUCUCUUCGGAGAUGGAUUAGCGGCGGACGGGUGAGUAACACGUGGGUAACCUGCCUCAUAGAGGGGAAUCGCCUAUCGAAAGGAAGAUUAAUACACCAUAAGAUUGUAGUUUCGCAUGAAACAGCAAUUAAAGGAGUAAUCCGCCAUGGAAUGGACCCGCGUCGCAAUAGCUAGUUGGUGAGGUAACGGCUCACCACGGCGACGAUGCGUAGCCGACCUGAGCGGGGGGUCGACCACAUUGGGACUGAGACACGGCCCAGACGCCUACGGGAGGCAGCAGUGGGGAAUAUUGCACAAUGGGGGAAACCCUGAUGCAGCAACGCCGCGUGAGUGAUGACGGUCUUCGGAUUGUAAAGCUCUGUCUUCAGGGACGAUAAUGACGGUACCUGAGGAGGAAGCCACGGCUAACUACGUGCCAGCCGCCGCCGUAA
rnacentral:rRNA from 1 species